CCCUAUGGGGUGCAGCAGGCUACAAGGUGACCGGCAUCGAUCAAUCGGCCACCAUGAUCGAGGAGGCCAUCCGUAAAAACCCUGACCUUCCACAUACCACCUUUCAAGUCGCCGACAUGCGGAGCCUGGACCUCCAUGAGGAAUACGAUUUUGUCUUAUGCCUGUAUGACUCGCUCAACUACCUGACCCAUCCGCGCGAUGUUCAGGCUUGUUUCGAGGGCGUCGCCAAACACCGCCGUUCCGGCGGCGGCUUCAGCUUCGAUGUGGCCACCGAGGCCAACAUCCUGGAGAACUUCACCAACACCACCUACUCCGAGAAUUUUGAAGACUUCGCCUACAUCUGGGAAAACGAGUACAACAUCAAAACCAAGAUCGGCCGCAGCGAUUUUUACUUCUUCCUUCGUGUGGCGGGGGGGC
rnacentral:rRNA from 1 species